GAAAAGCUCUUAUCGGCAUCAGUUUGUUGUAUCGAUACAUUUGAAGUAAACGAUCCUAGAAAGAACUAUCCUUUUGUCAGAAUGAUGAAGCCAGUACUUUUUACCUUCCUUUUGGUUGCCCUCUUUGCUGCGUACUCCGCAUCUCCAGUAGCUGAUGCCGAGGCUGCGCCAGCUCCUUGUUGGUGGUGGUGGCUUUUGUUGACAACCACAAGCACAACAACAACAACUACUACUACCACAACCACAACCACCACCACAACUACUACAACAACAACAACCACUACUACUGCAGCAGCAUCAGGUUAGUGCUGCCACUAGGUUUGUGACGUGGUCGUCUGUCA